rnacentral:lncRNA from 10 species
AUGGGGUGCUCAGAUUAACGCUCUAUUUUGGGAAGCUUUAUUAUUCAACUCAACAUAUGCUCAUUAUUUUACAUCUUUGUGCUGUUUAAAUGCUCAAGUAGUGGGGUAAAAGCCCUGGUUCUUCCACUUUGAUUAUGGCUCUGCCUGUCUAUAGUCCAAAGUAAUGGCACUGUUAGUUCUUUUAGAAAUGGGUAUUCGAGCUGGGUGCGGUGGCUCACGC